rnacentral:rRNA from 1 species
UACGAAGGGGGCUAGCGUUGUUCGGAAUCACUGGGCGUAAAGCGCACGUAGGCGGAUAUUUAAGUCAGGGGUGAAAUCCCAGAGCUCAACUCUGGAACUGCCUUUGAUACUGGGUAUCUCGAGUAUGGAAGAGGUGAGUGGAAUUCCGAGUGUAGAGGUGAAAUUCGUAGAUAUUCGGAGGAACACCAGUGGCGAAGGCGGCUCACUGGUCCAUUACUGACGCUGAGGUGCGAAAGCGUGGGGAGCAAACAGG